GUGAGGUUUAUCAACUAAAGUCCUUUAAGAAAAAUAAAAAAAAACUAUUGGGGAUGUUUUCCAAAACCAUCAAAAGCGACCCUCUUCAUAUGGGCAGCAAUGUUGUCUCAGUACUCGCUGUAACAUUGACUUCUCUAAUCCUAAGUACCGGUCAGGGGACCCAGAAACAUGAAGGAGCUGAGGAUAGUGGACAUCCUGAUGAAGGCAAAAAGAGACACCAGGAAACAAAACCUGUCGAAGAGAGAAAUGAAGCGUGGAGAGAUGCUGCUCUUGUGCCCAAAGAGGAGAUUGCUAAGCAAAUCUCCUGUGAUGAGGUGGACCUUAGUGAGGUGUGGUAUGAUGCUGAGGAUGAA